rnacentral:lncRNA from 1 species
GAAGGCGAGGGGGCGGCGGUGGUGGUGAUGGCAGAGGGUGGGGGAAAGGGAGGUGGCGACGGUGGAGGUGGCAGGGAGCGGCGCCGGGUAGGGGAAGGGGGAGUUAGGGUUUGGAGGGGGGGAUUUUCCUUUUCUUUUUCUUUUUCUUUUUAAUUUUUUUUCAUAUGUCACAAAAGUGCGCACCAUGUUGAUUUUCGGCUGCCACCUCAUCAAUUCCGGCUGCCACAGUGACAUUUCCGGCGCCGGUGUAAGUAAAAACCGGUCACCGGACAAAUUUGAGACAAAAAUGAA